CCCGUUGAAGGACAGUGCUGGCCGAGUCCAACCUUCAAUCUUAACCCAUCCGAAGAUGGUCCUUUCCAGCCGAGUUCCACUCAUUUCUGGUUGAACAGCAAAAAGAGGACCUCAGAGAUGCGACAGCUCCGUUGCAGUUUAUCAAUGAAAAUCUAAUAUCGUCCAUAAGGAGAUAAGUGGAAAUCAAUACUUCAUUACCAAAUUGUUAGUGAGCACGAAGAGAAAUGGAUCUGACAGGCAAGAGUGUCAGGAGUUCCAGGCCAGUCUGGAUGACUCAAGAUCCUGUCUCAAAACCAACCAACCAAAGGAAGUCCCUCAUAUCCCACCAUGGGGCGAUGGAAGGGCAGUGUGCUGAAUCCGUGGUAGAUUGAGACUUGCAUCGUAAGUCAUCUGGGGCCAAGGUGGUGCCCCCCUCGCAUUAACUUAGAAGGAGGAGGAAGAGGAGACCAAGUAC
rnacentral:lncRNA from 1 species